AAGACCCCGCCUGGCCCCGCCCAGACACCCAACACGUGCCCUGCCCCCUCCCCACAGGCCCCGGCCAGCCCCACCCAGGCCCCGCCCUGUUCCUCUUCUGCUUCGCCCAGACCCCCGGCCUUCCCUGGCUUGACUCCUGCAGUUCCCCCAGUGCCAGCCCCCUGCAGGCGGACACGGGGUCGGGCCAGUUCCCUACUAGCUCGUGGAACUGGGCGGCGGCGCACGAAGUAGACCCUCCAUAGACUUCGAAAUGGUGCCCACGUGGGCACCGAGCGCCCUACUGUAGCAGUGGACUCGAUCUUGGUCUGGCCUUUAACGUCGGAAGCUCUUUCACUCAGCACACAGAGAUUUGAACUUUGACCCCAAAGAAAAUAAAACUGCAAUGCAAGUCUAAGGUGCCAGGAGGCCGUUACCUGGAAAUUUAGCUUUCAAUGACUUGUGCCUUGGGUGCAUGCCAACGUGGACCGCAGGGGUUCUCAGCCUUCACCUGCGGGGGAUCACCUGCAGGGCUGGUUAGGACACAGACCAGAGAUUCCGGUCUGCAGGCUCCACAGGUGGGCCCCGCCGGCUGCAUUUCCAAGGCAUCGCAGGUGGUAGCGACCGGGUCUACGCCGAGCUAGGUGCCCUCCAUAGGAGUUAAUUUCCUCAUGGAGGCAAAGUCAACAGCCACAAAACAACCGGAAAUAUUGUAAGAUAGAACAGGUUUAUUUGUCAAGGUGGAAGUGGGACUGAGGCUCACUAACUGCCUGACCUGUUAUGUUCCAUAACUAUAAACAUGAUUGUAGGAGGUAGUAGAAAUAGGGUCGCCUCUGCAGACAGGUUUUAAAACUGCAUUUAUACGGUAAACAUAGUGCUUUUCCUUUUUUUUUUUUGUGAGACGGAGUCUCACUCUGUCGCCCAGGCUGGAGUGCAGUGGCAGGAUCUUGGCUCACUGCAACCUCCGUCUCCCAGCCUCCUGAGUAGCUGCGACUACAGGCACCCACCACCAUGCCCACAUAAUUUUGUGUUCUUUGUUUUGUUUUGAGACAGGGUCUGGCUCUGUCAGGCUGGAGUGCAAUGGUGGGAUCAUGGCUCCCUGCAGCCUCGACCUCCUGGGCUCAGGUGAUCCUCCUGCCUCAGCCUCCCCUGUAGCUGGUACUACAGGUGUGUGCCACCUGUAGUAAUUUUUUUGUAUUUCUUGUAGAAAUACGAGAAAUACACCCAGCUAAUUUUUUUGUAUUUCUUGUAGAAAGAGGGUUUCAUCAUGUUGCCCAGGCCGGUCUCAAACUUCUGGGCUCAAGUGAUCCACCCAUCUUGGCCUCCCAAUGUGCAGGGAUUACAGGCAUAAGCCACAGAGCCCGGCCUACAUAUUGCUUAUUAUUCAUACUUAAAAGCGCAUGCCUGGGAAUCGGGGGCUGGAGAGGGCUGAAGGCUCCCCAAGCCACCUUCCCAAAUCCUACGUCUCAUCUGUGCCAUGAAAGGGGCAGGUUAGAUGUCAGCGUUUCCCACACUAGCCUGAGUGUAAGCAUCCACUGAGGGAACUUCCAAAUAAUACAGACUCCCAGAUCACGCUGAUUCCAGGAGGUCUGGGACGGGUGCAAGGAAUUUCAAGAAGUAACAUCAAGUUAUUCUUAUGCUCAGAGAAGGCUAAUAAAUUUGGGGCGAGGCCAAAAGGCGUUGGAAGCCAGUAGUUUGAAAGAAAAAUAGCUUUCCAAAGGCUUUCGCUUUGUAAAAACUAAAUGGUGCCUUUUGGAAUACAAUGUGAACAUAACUUUUCCAAGGAUUUAAGGUGUUGAUGAGAAAGACAUUCUGAGACCUGCCAGCAGAUGGAGCCAUAAAACAAGAAAUAGAUGUUUACAGCCUCAACUCGGGAGAAAAAUACCGUGAAUGCACCUUACACUAUAGAAGUAACACUUUUCCCUCUGCUUUAUUUUCUCUAUAUGCUAAACUCCUUACUUGCCUCUGCUAAAGAACAUCGCUGGAGUGUCUUGGUGUGUGAAGUAUGAAAUAGUUUCUAAAGACAUAAGUUGUGAUAUAGCAAGACAGAGGCAAAACCCCUCAUUCUUCUGAGAGUGUAAACAUCAUGUCGCAAGAAGCUCACCUAAAAUUUGAAAAGGAAAACUCAACGAAAAUUUGAAAAGAAAUUCAAGGAAAAAAAAAUGUGACCUUUAAAAUUUCCAUGUUGACAGCACCACCAGGACCCCUUCUGGGAUCCGUUGCUAGGUAUAACUUCGUGCCUGACUCUGGAAGUUAAAAAAUGAAUAGUUACAGAUUCUUUUUCCGGGAGCCGCCUCUAGAGGGGUGUACCCACCAGGGAAGGGAACAGGAGGAUCGGCAUGGCGGAGCACGUUGGUCUGAGCACAUGUGAGGUGUUUAGAAAACUGCAAGUCAUCCAGCACGGGAGCAACGCCAGGCACAGGCAGGGGAGUCGUAGGGGAUGAUGCUGCAGAAGGGACAGACCGGGUUCUAGAAGUUGGCGAGCAAGGAAAUGUGAGCAUCUGGACUGCCGAACGCACCCUGUUAAGUGCUACUCAUGUCGUUCUGAUUGGGCUGAAUUGAAGAGCUGCCCAGCCUCUCCCCUGGCCCUGAGACCCCUGACCUAGAGGGACUAACUAGAGGGACGGCAUGGCAAUGGCAAGUGUACCCAAGACAGCAUGCCCGGAGGUUUAUCCAGGAAUAUUCAUCCAGAGGGAAAGAGCAAUGGACGAUGAGCAUGUUGGACCAGAUGGGCACGUGUCCAAGUGCACCCUAUGGAAUGUAUCAGCAUCGGCCUCGCCUGGAAGCCUGAUAGAAAUGCAGAUUCCCAGGCCCUGCCCAGGCCUGCUGUAUCCGGAUCUCUUGGUGGUGGAGCCCAGGGAUCUGCAUGUCACGAGCUUGCUCAGAGUAUCUGUGAACUGAGUUCAAUCCACAGCCCUCUACUCCAAUGCUAGCCAGACCCUGGGGCCAUUGCCUCUCCCCCCACAUGCCCCUCCAUACUGUCAGCACCUCUGCAUUGUGGCCUUUCUGCCACCCCCAACCGACUUGGGGAUCCCAACCACCCACACCCAGGGGCCUGCACCAGACUGCAGAGUGUUGCCUGAGGGGACACAGUCCACAGUCAUCCUUUUCUCCUCUCCUUCCCAGUUAAUUCCAUUUUCCACGCCUCUCAUGGCGAUUCCUGAUCUUCACAGGCCCCAGAGCCUCUGACCCUGGUGUUCCCCCUGAGAAAAUGAGGCCAGGGUUUGUGAGCUGCCCAUGCCACACCUGUGCCUGCCUCAUCAUGUGGAGUCCCUUUAGCUCAGCUCUAGGGUCCCCCUUCUUGCUUCCUCAAAGAUCCUCCUCUCUCCCAAGUUCCUCUUCUUCUUCUCAAUACUUCUCUCUUCUGGGGCUUCCUCCUUGACACGUCAAUGUUGUCUAGCUGUCUUCAUCAAUUUUCUUUAUUAUUUUAUUUGUAUAUAUUGUAUUUUAUUUUAAGACAGAGUCUUGCUGUGUCAGCCAGCCUGGAGUUCAGUGGUGCAGUCAUAGCUCACUGCAGCCGCGACCUCCUGGGCUCCUGUCUCUUGAGUAGCUGGGACAACAGGCAUGGGCUACUACAGCUGGCUAAUAUUUUCUUUUUACUUUUUAAGAGACAGGGUCUUACUAGUCAUCCUCGUCUUUAAGAACGAAGCAAAACAAGGGUCUCGAAGAGAUAUUUGUACCCACUGUUCAUAGCAGCAUUGUUAAAGAGUUAAUAUGUGGACCCAACCCAAGUGUGUUUCCAUUGAUGAAUAAUGAGCAGAACGGGGUCAUCCGUGCAGUGGGUAUUACCAGCCUUAGAAAGGACGGGAAUCCCGACGCACCCUGCAACAUGGAUGAACCUAGAGGACAUUAAGCUCAGCGAAGUAAGCCAGUGACGAACAGACAAAUAUCAUUCCACUUCUAAGAGGCACUUAGUGUUGUCAAAGUCAAGGACAGACAGUAAAGCAGGGUUGCUGGGGCUGGGGGAGGGGAACGGGGUUGGUGUUUGAUGGGGACAGUGUUUCAGUUUUGCAAGAUGGAAGGAGCUCUGGUGUUGGUGGUGGUUGUCUGACAUUACGACAUUAUGAAUGUAUUUCAUACCAUUGCGCUGUACACAUAAAAAGGAUUAAAAUGGCAAAUUUUAUGUUCUGUGUAUUUUGCCACCAUAAAAACAGUUGGGGGGGAGAAAAAGAAGUAAAACAAAAAUGAAUCCCUACGGCUCCUCCUUUCCUCUUUUCCCUCCAGAGUCCAUCUCCUUGAAAGAAUGGUUUCUUAGGCCCCACGUCCACAUCUUGCCCUCCCACAGUGUGGUUUUGAUUCUCAGAG
rnacentral:lncRNA from 10 species